AUUGAACGCCGGCGGCAGGCCUAACACAUGCAAGUCGAGCGGCAGCGGAAAGUAGCUUGCUACUUUGCCGGCGAGCGGCGGACGGGUGAGUAAUGUCUGGGAAACUGCCUGAUGGAGGGGGAUAACUACUGGAAACGGUAGCUAAUACCGCAUAACGUCGCAAGACCAAAGAGGGGGACCUUCGGGCCUCUUGCCAUCAGAUGUGCCCAGAUGGGAUUAGCUAGUAGGUGGGGUAACGGCUCACCUAGGCGACGAUCCCUAGCUGGUCUGAGGGGAUGACCAGCCACACUGGAACUGGGACACGGUCCAGAGUCCUACGGGAGGCAGCAGUGGGGAAUAUUGCACAAUGGGCGCAAGCCUGAUGCAGCCAUGCCGCGUGUAUGAAGAAGGCCUUCGGGUUGUAAAGUACUUUCAGCGGGGAGGAAGGCGCUGAGGUUAAUAACCUCAGCGAUUGACGUUACCCGCAGAAGAAGCACCGGCUAACUCCGUGCCGGCAGCAGCCGCCGUAA
rnacentral:rRNA from 1 species